UACAGAGGGGGCAAGCGUUGUUCGGAAUUACUGGGCGUAAAGGGCGCGUAGGCGGCCUGUUAAGUCGAACGUGAAAUCCCCGGGCUCAACCCGGGAACUGCGUCCGAUACUGGCAGGCUUGAAUCCGGGAGAGGGAUGCGGAAUUCCAGGUGUAGCGGUGAAAUGCGUAGAGAUCAGGAAGAACACCGGUGGCGAAAGCGCUCUGCUGGACCUUAACUGACACUGAGGGACGAAAGCUAGGGGAGCGAAUGGG
rnacentral:rRNA from 1 species